rnacentral:lncRNA from 1 species
UGAAAACACAAAUUGGGAGAGGAAAUUGAGACACUUCUGGGCAACAAAGAAGAAAAGUAUUGAGAGUGACUGGUCAGAUACUGUCAAUUAUCCAUCAAUUGGGAUUUGCGUGAUGUUUUCCUUGUGAUUAGACCAGAAUAAGGAAUAAUGGAGGAGAAACACAGAGGUAAAAAUGCCAUUUUUAU